rnacentral:rRNA from 1 species
CGACCGGCGCACGGGUGAGCAACACGUAUGCAACCUGGCCGCCACAGGGGGAUAACCCGCGGAAACGCGGCCUAAUACCCCGUGACGCCACCGGAGGGCAUCCUCCGGUGGCCAAAGGAGCGAUCCGGUGGCGGAUGGGCAUGCGGCGCAUUAGCUAGACGGCGGGGUGACGGCCCACCGUGGCGACGAUGCGUAGGGGUUCUGAGAGGAAGGCCCCCCACACUGGGACUGAGACACGGCCCAGGCUCCUACGGGAGGCAGCAG